CUCAACAAAAGAUUCCCAGUCCUAUCAUUUCAAAUCUGAUUUGACCUAAAUAGUCAUUCUCUGAACCACCUAUGUCCUAAUUGGAUCUUGAUCAAAUGAAAUUAGAUGAUCGAACCCAUCUGGACUGUUGGAUGAACUAUCUGUUAAUCCUGUCUUUCUUAAUUAUUCGUAUUCUUUCUAAUUAUUAAACUUGAUCCUAUAUAGGAUUAUGGAUGUUUGAUCAUGGGAUAUCGCAAUAUAAUUUAUGAAUGGA
rnacentral:lncRNA from 1 species